rnacentral:rRNA from 1 species
AUUGAACGCUGGCGGCAUGCUUUACACAUGCAAGUCGAACGGUAACAGGGAGCUUGCUCCGCUGACGAGUGGCGAACGGGUGAGUAAUGCGUCGGAACGUGCCGAGUAGUGGGGGAUAACGCAUCGAAAGGUGUGCUAAUACCGCAUACGUACUGAGGUAGAAAGUGGGGGACCUUCGGGCCUCACGCUAUUCGAGCGGCCGACGUCUGAUUAGCUAGUUGGUGAGGUAGAGGCUCACCAAGGCGACGAUCAGUAGCGGGUCUGAGAGGAUGGUCCGCCACACUGGGACUGAGACGCGGCCCAGACUCUUACGGGAGGCAGCAGUGGGGAAUUUUGGACAAUGGGCGCAAGCCUGAUCCAGCCAUGCCGCGUGUCUGAAGAAGGCCUUCGGGUUGUAAAGGACUUUUGUCCGGGAGCAAAUGCCUGGUGUUAAUAGCACUGGGAGCUGAGAGUACCGGAAGAAUAAGCACCGGCCAACUACGUGCCAGCCGCCGCCGUAACAC